UUUGGGUGUUAACUGUAUAUAAGGUCUUGUUUUGGGGUUCCUCUGCCUGCACAAGUUCUCUAGAGAAGUUUAAUGAUUUAAAACAGAGGUGGGGAACUUUUUAUGAGCUAUACUAGCUCAGGAAUUCUAGGAAUUGAAGCCCACAAUCAUAAAGGAGCCGUCAUUCCAUACCUCUGGCUUAAAAGGUGGGGCUGGAGCAGGGAGGUGCAAGCUAUUAAAAGCAUCCAUUGAUUCCUGAGAUAGCAAAGAUCAUACUGGUAUCUUUUGUUUUCUAGUUUUU